rnacentral:rRNA from 1 species
GCUUUUAACUAGAUAGCAACUUUCAGCAGUGGAUGUCUAGGCUCGCACAUCGAUGAAGAACGCUGCGAACUGCGAUACGUAAUGCGAAUUGCAGGAUUCAGUGAGUCAUCGAAAUUUUGAACGCAUAUUGCACUUCCGGGUUAGUCCUGGGAGUAUGCCUGUAUCAGUGUCCGUACAUCAAACUUGGCUCCCUUCCUUCCGUGUAGUCGGUGGAUGGGGACGCGCAGAUGUGAAGUGUCUUGCGGCUGGUCUUCGGGUCGGCUGCGAGUCCUUUGAAAUGUACUGAACUGUACUUCUCUUUGUUCGAAAAGCGUGACGACGUUGGUUGUGGAGGCUGCCCGUGUGGCCAGUCGGCGACCGGUUUGUCUGCUGCGGCGUUUAAUGGAGGAGUGUUCGAUUCGCGGUAUGGUUGGCUUCGGCUGAACAGAGCGCUUAUUGGAUGCUUUUCCUGCUGUGGCGGUAUGGGCUGGUGAACCGUAGCUGUGCGAGGCUUGGCUUUUGAAUCGGCGAUGUUGUGCGAAGUAGAAUGUGUGUUUCGGCGCAAGCUGGGGCAUACGAGGGUCGAUCCAUUUGGGAAACUUUGUGUGCGCUUCGGCGUGCAUCUUAAUUGGACCUGAUAUCAGGCAAGAUUACCCGCUGAACUUAAGCAUAUCAAUAAGCGGAGGA